rnacentral:tRNA from 1 species
GUGGGUGUAGAUCAGCGGUAGAAUGUGUGCUUAGCAUGCAUAAGGUCUUGGGUUCAAACCCCAGUACUUCCA